AUUUUCUCUUUGGAAAUCCCCAAUUUAAUGUGAAUAUCAUGUGUUUUAUCUUUGCAAAUCCCCCAUUUCACCUGAAAAUCACGCGUUUUCUUUUCGCAAAUCCCCCAUGUAAGAGAAAAGCACCUGUUCUCUCUUUGGAAAUCCCCCAUUUAACCCUGAAAAUCACGCAUUUUCUCUUUGAGAAUCUUCUAUUUAAGCGAAAAUCACGCGUUUUCUUUUCGGAAAUCCCCCAUUUAACCCGAAAAUCAUGAUUUUUCUCUUUGCAUAUCCCCCAUUUAAGCGAAUAUCAUGCGUUUUCUCUUUGGAAAUCCCCCAUUUCACCCGAAAAUCACGCGUUUCCUCUCUGCAAAUCCCCCAUUUAACGAAAAUCACACGUUUUCUCUUCGAGAAUCCCCCAUUUAAGCGAAAAUCACGCGUUUUCUCUUUGGAAAUCCCCCAUUUAAGCGAAAAUCACGCGUUUUCUCUUCGCAAAUCCCCAUUUAACCGAAAAUCACGCGUUUUCUCUUCGCAAAUCCCCCAUUUAAGCGAAAAUCACGCGUUUUCUCUUCGCAAAUCCCCCAUUUAACCCAAAAAUCGGGCGUUUUCUCUUUGAGAAUCCCCGAUUUAACCCGAAAAUCACACGUUUUCUCUUCGCAAAUCCCCCAUUCAAGCGAAAAUCACGUGUUUUCUCUUCGCAAAUCCCCAAUUUAACCCGAAAAUCAGGCGUUUUUGGUUCGAGAACCCACCAUUUAAGCGAAAAUCACGCGUUCUCUCUUUGGAAAUCCCCCAUUUAACCCGAAAAUCAUGCGUUUUCUCUUCGCAAAUCCCCCACUUGACCGAAAAUCACGCGUUUUCUCUUCGCAAAUCCCCCAUUUAACUUGAAAAUCACGCAUUUUCUCUUCGCAAAUCCCCCAUUUAAGCGAAAAUCACGCGUUUUCUCUUCGAGAAUCCCCCAUUUAACUUGAAAAUCACGCGUUUUCUCUUCGGAAUUCCCCCAUUUAAGCGAAAAUCACGCGUUUUCUCUUCAAGAAUCCCCCAUUUAACUUGAAAAUCUCGCGUUUUCUCUUCGGAAAUCGACCAUUUAAGCAAAAAUCAC
ensembl:lncRNA